GCGCGUUCCUCGUCGCGUCAUCUUGCAAAUCCCAACUGCGACAAUAAUCUUCUCCAUCACCAAGAAACCCGCACCGUCACCAAACACUUCUCUGUCGCUAAGAAGCCCUUGCCGUCACUAAGCAUCCCUCUCUGUCACCAAGAACCCCGCGCUAUCUCCAAUCAGCUGAGAACCCUGCACCGUUAUCAAGUCCUCUCUUGCAACUCAAUAAUGUCUCUUCGAGACCAGCAAGCAAUGAACAGCUUUGAAGCAAUGGAUGUGGUGUGGAUUCAGAUUAAUCAUGGUGGCUAGUUUUGUUAUUAUUUAGUUCUAAAGUGUGUUUGUUGACUUGUAGUUUGGUUUUAAGAUAGUGUUUUAUGUUUGUUAGACAUUUCGAUGUGUUUGUUUUAUAUUUAAUUAUGUGUGUUUGUUUUAUGUUUAGUUACUGAGAUGGAUUGAAAUUUUAUUAAAUUUGAAUGUAAUGUACUCUUGUUA